CAAGUAAAUUGUUCACUUUUGAAAAAACAUUUGAAAAUGUAAAUCAACUUAUGCUUCAUUUGGAAAGUUAAAAUGCAAGGUCCAAGUAACUAGUAUUUCAUUUUUAAAUUAGAUUUUUAGAAAGCAGCUAAGAAACAGCUAUGAGUUAUAUACCUACCCUUUACAUUUUUAGCAUUCUGAAAAGAGUGCUUAACUGGAACAUUACUAAAAUAGGAAUAUUGGAACAAGUAAGCAAUCUCACUUGAUUUGAGUAACUCCAUUUUGUAUCUAAAAUGCAGUAUAUUUGAGUUGAUGGAAUGUUCAAGGAAUAACAACUGUUUUAUAUCAGUUUUAUGAUUACUUUCAUGUCUACAUAGGUGUUCUAAUUCAAAUUUCAAGAAAAUAGGCACACCCUCCCAACAGUCUCAAAAUCACCAAAAUACUUAUUUUUGGUUAGGAUUUGUUUACUAAAGACCCCCAGGCUUAGAUUGACUGAUGUCUGAAAGAUAGGCAGUGAAAGUGAACCCCAUAAUGAAUGACCGUGCCUAGUUAUUUCAGGGUUCCUCUAUCAGUUCCUCAUAUUGCAGAUUUUUCUUAAUACCAAGAUAUGGCUGAACCAGCUGCCCAGCCAUAACUCUUUUCAAUGCCCCUUUGCUAACAUUCUUUGAACUGAGUGAUUUGUAUGUGUUUUAACGUCCAAUGUUUGGAUUUUACCUCUUUAUAGCUCCAUUUGUUCCUGGUGCUGCUUUUAAAGAUGUAGGGCCAUGUGAUCCAGUAUCAAGUUGAGUAGGUACGCAAUUGGCCUGAUUAUGUAUCUGUGCCUGUUUUGUCUUCUCCCAAGAAGAGCUGCUUUGGUAUAGAUGUUUACUUAGAUUCAGAUAAAGAACUGGGCAGCGGUUUUGGAAAGCUUUCUGAAGCCUAUAAGAAUCUAAAGGGAUAUGGAGGGGGAACAGUAACAAAGGCGGCCUUUAUGUCUUUCAAGAUGAAGCACAUAAAUGUAUGUUCUGUAAAGACUAUAGUGAUUGUUACACCAGGGCUUCCUGACCUCUGGGAGAGACUUUCAGAAAAGCAGAAAGGAGCACAAAAGUGAAAUGAAUUUGGUUGUCUUACUUUAUCUGGUUUCUCAUUUUCUUUCAAUUUAAAGCUGAACAUAACACCCUUUUCCAAUAUCUAUCCAGCAGACUCCUGGUUGGGAAGCCCUGUAUUAAACUUUGAGAAUGUACCCAGUUUCCUUUUUUUUUUUUUUUUUUGUACAGUGCUUUCUUUACACCUGCUAAAAAUUAACUUGUUUAAAGCAAAAUAAGACCUUGAAAGGUCAGUCAUAUUAAAGCUGGUUUGAUUAUUAAUAGUUAUCUUUUAGGAAGAAGCUUUUUCCCUAUGUAAGAUGUCAUACUGCAGAUUUAAAAUAUAGACUAUCAAUAAAAUGCAUGAAGUGAUCAUUUGUGCUUGAUCAUCUCUCCUUGGGUUUUUCUUUUAAAAGAGGAAUCUGAUAAAGAUUCUGUUGCUUCACACCAAUGUCAGAUAGACAUGGUUUUAAAAAUCAUGUAGAAUUAGAGUGCAACCUUGAUUUUGAUUCCCCUCACUGUUUGAGUGUGGGCAGGUACUGGUUUAUGAAAUAUAACUUCUGUCCUGUAUUGUGUAAUGGCUUAAUCUUUCAGUGGUAAAAUAAAAGAUUAAAGUCUAUUCGUAUAUAAGAAUCCUGGAAACAUUUGUGUAAGUGACAUUUUAAGUAGGUGCAUCUUUGAUGUUUCUUGUAUUACUAUUGACCUGAUGAUUCCCUUGCUUGACCUCUGUAAGUAUAAAGAUUUGUCUA
rnacentral:lncRNA from 1 species